rnacentral:miRNA from 1 species
GCCCUCCAGAUGUUUUGGGACUACAAUUCCCAUCUUCCCUGACCACUGGUCUUGUUAGCUAGGGGUGAGGGGAGUUGUAGUCCCAAAACAUCUGGAGGGC